ACGAACGCUGGCGGCGUGCUUAACACAUGCAGGUCGAACGGAAAGGCCCUGCUUGCAGGGUACUCGAGUGGCGAACGGGUGAGUAACACGUGGGUGAUCUGCCCUGCACUUCGGGAUAAGCCUGGGAAACUGGGUCUAAUACCGGAUAGGAGCCAUUUUUAGUGUGAUGGUUGGAAAGUUUUUUCGGUGUAGGAUGAGCUCGCGGCCUAUCAGCUUGUUGGUGGGGUAAUGGCCUACCAAGGCGGCGACGGGUAGCCGGCCUGAGAGGGUGGACGGCCACAUUGGGACUGAGAUACGGCCCAGACUCCUACGGGAGGCAGCAGUGGGGAAUAUUGCACAAUGGGCGCAAGCCUGAUGCAGCGACGCCGCGUGGGGGAUGACGGCCUUCGGGUUGUAAACUCCUUUCGCUAGGGACGAAGCUUUUUGUGACGGUACCUAGAUAAGAAGCACCGGCUAACUACGUG
rnacentral:rRNA from 1 species